UACGGGGGGUGCAAACGUUGUUCGGAAUCACUGGGCGUAAAGAGCGCGUAGGCGGUCGGGUAAGUGGGGUGUGAAAUCCACCGGCUCAACCGGUGAACUGCACUUCAUACUGUCCGACUUGAGGGCAGCAGAGGAGAGGGGAAUUCUCGGUGUAGCGGUGAAAUGCGUAGAUAUCGAGAGGAACACCAGUGGCGAAGGCGCUUCUCUGGGCUGCUCCUGACGCUGAGGCGCGAAAGCUAGGGGAGCGAACAGG
rnacentral:rRNA from 1 species